GAUGAACGCUGGCGGCGUGCCUAAUACAUGCAAGUCGAGCGAAUGGAUUAAGAGCUUGCUCUUAUGAGGUUAGCGGCGGACGGGUGAGUAACACGUGGGUAACCUGCCCAUAAGACUGGGAUAACUCCGGGAAACCGGGGCUAAUACCGGAUAACAUUUUGAACCGCAUGGUUCGAAAUUGAAAGGCGGCUUCGGCUGUCACUUAUGGAUGGACCCGGUUCGCAUUAGCCGGUUGGUGAGGUAACGGCUCACCAAGGCAAAGAUGCGUAGCCGACCUGGGAGGGUGAUCGGCCACACUGGGACUGAGACACGGCCCAGACUCCUACGGGAGGCAGCAGUAGGGAAUCUUCCGCAAUGGACGAAAGUCUGACGGAGCAACGCCGCGUGAGUGAUGAAGGCUUUCGGGUCGUAAAACUCUGUUGUUAGGGAAGAACAAGUGCUAGUUGAAUAAGCUGGCACCUUGACGGUACCUAACCAGAAAGCCACGGCUAACUACGUGCCAGCCGCCGCAGUAA
rnacentral:rRNA from 1 species